AUUGAACGCUGGCGGAAUGCUUUACACAUGCAAGUCGAACGGUAGAGGGGGCAACCCCUCGAGAGUGGCGAACGGGUGAGUAAUAUAUCGGAACGUGCCCAGUCGUGGGGGAUAACGUAGCGAAAGUUACGCUAAUACCGCAUACGAUCUAAGGAUGAAAGCGGGGGAUCGCAAGACCUCGCGCGAUUGGAGCGGCCGAUAUCAGAUUAGGUAGUUGGUGGGGUAAAGGCUCACCAAGGCAACGAUCUGUAGCUGGUCUGAGAGGACGACCAGCCACACUGGAACUGAGACCCGGUCCAGACUCCUACGGGAGGCAGCAGUGGGGAAUUUUGGACAAUGGACGCAAGUCUGAUCCAGCCAUUCCGCGUGCAGGAUGAAGGCCCUCGGGUUGUAAGCUGCUUUUGUACAGAACGAAAAGGUUUCUACUAAUACUAGGAGCUCAUGACGGUACUGUAAGAAUAAGCACCGGCUAACUACGUGCCAGCCGCCGCCGUAA
rnacentral:rRNA from 1 species